rnacentral:rRNA from 1 species
AGUGAACGCUGGCGGUAGGCCUAACACAUGCAAGUCGAACGGCAGCACAGGAGAGCUUGCUCUCUGGGUGGCGAGUGGCGGACGGGUGAGGAAUACAUCGGAAUCUACUCUGUCGUGGGGGAUAACGGAGGGAAACUUACGCUAAUACCGCAUACGACCUACGGGUGAAAGCAGGGGACCUUCGGGCCUUGCGCGAUUGAAUGAGCCGAUGUCGGAUUAGCUAGUUGGCGGGGUAAAGGCCAACCAAGGCGACGAUCCGUAGCUGGUCUGAGAGGAUGAUCAGCCACACUGGAACUGAGACACGGUCCAGACUCCUACGGGAGGCAGCAGUGGGGAAUAUUGGACAAUGGGCGCAAGCCUGAUCCAGCCAUACCGCGUGGGUGAAGAGGGCCUUCGGGUUGUAAAGCCCUUUUGUUGGGAAAGAAAUCCAGCUGGCUAAUACCCGGUUGGGAUGACGGUACCCAAAGAAUAAGCACCGGCUAACUUCGUGCCAGCCGCCGCAGUAA